rnacentral:rRNA from 1 species
AUGUUCCGCCGCAGCAGGAGCCCUGACGCCGGCAGCCGCCUUUGCUUCCUCAACCGCCAGACCGGCACCGGCACGGGCACCGGCACUGGCAUCCCUGAUGACCCCAUAACCCAGCAACGGAUCUAUGGUCCAGACAAUCUAGGUCAUUGGGACGACGAAUCAGCGGCGGACCAAGAUCUGGAAGGGGGGAUGAAAAAGGAGCUCAUCGCCAAGAUCCAGCGCUACUACGACCGGGUGAAGAUCAUCGACGAAGGCUUCUGCUUCGGCCUACUAGAUCCGGUCUCCAACAUCGUCGUCAGCGAAGCAAUCGCCCAAACCGACCUGGCCCUAGCGUUGGAGGAGGAAGAGGAGGACUACUCGCGUGGUCGUCGGCGGCCGAUGCUACGGUGCAUUUUCGAGCGGUCGGUCGACGGCCUGGUCGCCUUCCUGGUGGCCCUCUUCCCCUACCUCACCAACUACAGGGCCGUGUGGUAUCUCAACAAGGCCGAUCUGGACCCCCUCGUCGCCGCCGGCCUCGUCAUCAAGCACCGCGGGAUGGAGCGGACCUUCGGUUUCCAGUCUGACACCACCGCGGCCGCCGUCGGAAUGGCGCUCAGGUGUGCCGCCGCCGCCGCCCAGCACCACGACCCGCGCAAGUUUGCUCUGGCGUGGAAGAUACUGUCCCCUUCUCUGUGCAAGAUCAACACACUGCUUUCAUCACCCUACGCAGCCCGAGACCCCGGUCUGAUCAUCGACAUCUGGGAACUACUUGAGCAACCUGAACCACCUGCUCUUGUCCUGGAGGAAGCCUGGAAGCUUGCCUCUAAACGACAUGGAAGCAACCUGAAUAACCAUGCAGAGAUGGAGAUGCAAGUACCGCUGCUGCCGACUCUGAGGCGUGUGCUUCUCACCACCAUCCAUGGAUACUAUCUGGAGGCCCUUGCCUGGCUGCCCAAGGACAAGCUGCGGGGCUCGCACCAGUACCAUUACAGCCUGCUCCACGCCGGCCACUGCUACGGGCCGCUCGACCCCGUCUCCAACAUCAUCGUUAAUACCCUCUGGUAUGCCCAAGCCUACCCUCUAAAGCUAGAGAAAAAGAUGGAGAUCGAGGCCAUCAGCACCAGAGCCCUGCUGCGGGUCGCACUCCGGUCCCUAUAUGGCCUCAUCUCCUUCCUUUGCACCCGCCACCCCGCCCUCACGCCGGGCGAAGCCAUGCAACGACUGCAGCUGGCCGGGGCCUAUCUCCAAAAGGCCGAUGAUCACGAUGGCGGUGUCGAAGAAGCCGAAGCCUACGUGGCCGCUGCCAAUGCCGCACGCCACCCCAAGCCUCUUGAACAGGCCAACUUCCUCGGGCCAUCUAAUUCCAUGCUGAAAGGCUUCUCGGAUCUCCUCGAGCACAAAGAACCUGCCAACGUCCGCCCAUUGUUUCCGGCCUACUUCCAAUCUCUUGCCAACUGCAAACCUGCACAAGAAACAAAAAACACCAACGUGUUAGGCCCCUGGGCUUACAAUGGUGUAAUGAGAACGAUAGUCAACUUCUGGAUCGAGCACAAUAGCGCCGUGGGAAUGGCGAAAUCUGCAAUCGAGAUGUACAACAAGAAACUCCAGGUACAGCCCAGCUACGAGGUCCAUGUUGUGUGCGGUGUCAAUGAGUACGCGGGUGGCUGUGCGAACCCAACGAAGCCCUUCGAUGCCACGUGCCUUUGCUCCCACAUCAACUUCCUCGCCACCCAGACUGCAGCAGCAGGCACAUCUCCAGAGCUCUUCUUUGCCGAGUGUAGCAACAUCGGCUCUAAGGAGGUGCUGUUGUGCUGCCCUGUGGCUAUGCCACUUCCAGGCACUGAGCAAGUCCGUUGCCUUUAUUGUGAGUCCAGAGGGAGGACCAUCGUGCACCCGACCAAGGAGAGUUUCCUGGGGCGUGACAAAGAGUUUGAGAAGAUGCUCUGCGGGGAAAGACAACGCGCCAACAAUGAAAUGAUCUCUGGCAGCUAUUAUAUAACCUUGAGUUUGGAUAAUCUGGAGGAGGACCGGAUCUACGGCGAUUACACCUGCGACCCUGGACUCCAAGAGGACGUGCCAUUGGAUGACAUAAAUUAA